rnacentral:tRNA from 1 species
GCCCCUGUGGCCUAACGGACAAGGCAUUGGUUUCCUAAACCGAGGAUUGUGGAUUCAUGUCCCACCAGGGGUA